UGACAUUGAAACAUUGGUUCUCGUACGAUCACCGAAGUUAAGCAACGUCGUGCCUAGUCAGUACCUAGAUGGGUGACCGCUUGGGUAUACCAGGUGCUGUAAG
rnacentral:rRNA from 1 species